GUCGCAAGACCAAAGAGGGGGACCUUCGGGCCUCUUGCCAUCAGAUGUGCCCAGAUGGGAUUAGCUAGUAGGUGGGGUAACGGCUCACCUAGGCGACGAUCCCUAGCUGGUCUGAGAGGAUGACCAGCCACACUGGAACUGAGACACGGUCCAGACUCCUACGGGAGGCAGCAGUGGGGAAUAUUGCACAAUGGGCGCAAGCCUGAUGCAGCCAUGCCGCGUGUAUGAAGAAGGCCUUCGGGUUGUAAAGUACUUUCAGCGGGGAGGAAGGCGUUGAGGUUAAUAACCUCAGCGAUUGACGUUACCCGCAGAAGAAGCACCGGCUAACUCCGUGCCAGCAGCCGCGGUAAUACGGAGGGUGCAAGCGUUAAUCGGAAUUACUGGGCGUAAAGCGCACGCAGGCGGUCUGUCAAGUCGGAUGUGAAAUCCCCGGGCUCAACCUGGGAACUGCAUUCGAAACUGGCAGGCUAGAGUCUUGUAGAGGGGGGUAGAAUUCCAGGUGUAGCGGUGAAAUGCGUAGAGAUCUGGAGGAAUACCGGUGGCGAAGGCGGCCCCCUGGACAAAGACUGACGCUCAGGUGCGAAAGCGUGGGGAGCAAACAGGAUUAGAUACCCUGGUAGUCCACGCCGUAAACGAUGUCGACUUGGAGGUUGUGCCCUUGAGGCGUGGCUUCCGGAGCUAACGCGUUAAGUCGACCGCCUGGGGAGUACGGCCGCAAGGUUAAAACUCAAAUGAAUUGACGGGGGCCCGCACAAGCGGUGGAGCAUGUGGUUUAAUUCGAUGCAACGCGAAGAACCUUACCUACUCUUGACAUCCAGAGAACUUUCCAGAGAUGGAUUGGUGCCUUCGGGAACUCUGAGACAGGUGCUGCAUGGCUGUCGUCAGCUCGUGUUGUGAAAUGUUGGGUUAAGUCCCGCAACGAGCGCAACCCUUAUCCUUUGUUGCCAGCGGUCCGGCCGGGAACUCAAAGGAGACUGCCAGUGAUAAACUGGAGGAAGGUGGGGAUGACGUCAAGUCAUCAUGGCCCUUACGAGUAGGGCUACACACGUGCUACAAUGGCGCAUACAAAGAGAAGCGACCUCGCGAGAGCAAGCGGACCUCAUAAAGUGCGUCGUAGUCCGGAUUGGAGUCUGCAACUCGACUCCAUGAAGUCGGAAUCGCUAGUAAUCGUAGAUCAGAAUGCUACGGUGAAUACGUUCCCGGGCCUUGUACACACCGCCCGUCACACCAUGGGAGUGGGUUGCAAAAGAAGUAGGUAGCUUAACCUUCGGGAGGGCGCUUACCACUUUGUGAUUCAUGACUGGGGUGAAGUCGUAACAAGGUAACCGUAGGGGAACCUGCGGUUGGAUCACCUCCUUA
rnacentral:rRNA from 1 species